GCAGCAGUGGGGAAUAUUGCACAAUGGAGGAAACUCUGAUGCAGCGACGCCGCGUGAGUGAAGAAGUAUUUCGGUAUGUAAAGCUCUAUCAGCAGGGAAGAAAAUGACGGUACCUGACUAAGAAGCACCGGCUAAAUACGUGCC
rnacentral:rRNA from 1 species